UACACCUCACACUUCUCCAUUCACAACUUCAUCUGAUACACUUCUUUUCACUUUUUAUUAAGUUUUUUUUUUCAUCUGAUACACUUCUUUCCCUAUAUAAAGGUCACUCUUCUUCCCAUGAUCAUCAUCCUCACCGAAUCCGUAUAAUGCCUAACUCAUCUAUCAUUUUUUUUUCUGAUUUCCCACCGUGGUGGUGUGCCUCCUCAGGUUUUAAGAAGCCAGAAGCGAGCUCAUGGAUGACUCUAAGGCGACACUUAUGCCAACAACCGUGAACCACCCCAGCUGAGAAGUUCCAGUUUUGAAAGUAUGAACAACUACAGGCUGUGACUAAUGCUGACUUUGAUUUGCCGGAUCGAUACUCCACUGAAUGAGAGGGGAUGGAAGAGUUCUACUGAUGGUUCUACUUCUCCACCACAAUGGAGCUGCGAAAAUAGGAACAAGCUUACAGUGAAUUAAGGUCUGAUUCAUGUGUUUGUCACAGGUUGUUAUUAACUCUGUUUGUGCUAUAUACAAUACAAGUGCUUCUCUCAAGCUGUCUGAUUAUUUUCUAUUGAUUUAUAACUCUUUGGAUGAAGAUGAAAUGCUAAGAAAGCUGAGGAGUUUGCAAGGUUUGGUGAUCAAAUUGGACUAAAUGAGAAGGCUUUAGGCGACAGAGAAACAAAGAAUUAGCAAAGAUCAGUUACAAAUGUAAGAGCUCCCCCACAUGCAUCACAUGGUCUGUAAGAAAUAAUAUUCUUGGCUUAAGACAUGCAUCACUUUCCCAUUUUUAGAUUCUAUCACCUUAUUUUCAAAAAUUUUAUUACUUCCUCCACUAUUCACUUCAAAAUUGUGAUUAUAUUUUAUAAAAUCAUAAAAUAUGUUCAUUAGGCCAAUAUUUGUUUUUGUUCAUGCUUCACCUCAUAUUUGUUAUUGGCCAUACUCUGCGUUUUUUUUCAACAAGUUGAGGGUAAGGUGUAUAGAUGUUUCCAAUUUUUAGGACAAAAGUAUAAAUGUUUCCUUUAAAGAUCA